rnacentral:rRNA from 1 species
UACGUAGGGCGCAAGCGUUAUCCGGAAUUAUUGGGCGUAAAGAGCUCGUAGGUGGUUUGUCGCGUUGUUCGUGAAAACCUGAGGCUUAACCUUGGGCGUGCGGGCGAUACGGGCAGACUGGAGUACUGCAGGGGAGACUGGAAUUCCUGGUGUAGCGGUGGAAUGCGCAGAUAUCAGGAGGAACACCGGUGGCGAAGGCGGGUCUCUGGGCAGUAACUGACGCUGAGGAGCGAAAGCGUGGGGAGCAAACGGG